UGUUUGUUUACGUAGUUCAGGGAAAAAUAAUGACAAUGUAUUCAUUACCAAAGGGAGACCAGUGGAGUUUGAGUUCUAGGCUCUGAGAGGUGGCUGUUUGUACAAACUCAUUACCUCUCUGGAAUGGUCAGUCUGACAGAGGGCAGGGUACAGUAGUCAGGGAUGUAACGCAACCAACCCAGAUGUGUUUUCGUUUAAUCUGAGCUCUGCUCUUGACUAGUUAGUUGUGUGACUUCCGGUAAGUUACUUAACCUCUCUCUACCUCAGUUUCCUCAUUUUAAGGAUGGAGAUAAUUAUUCUACCUACUUCCUAGGGUUUUUUGUGAGAUUAAGUGUGAUGAUUCAUGUAAACCACCUUGUACAGAACCUAGAGCAGAGUGAAGGCCCAAUACAAACUACUCUCUUGCACACACUCUUCAGUGCUGCUCCAUUUCUUGUUAAAGUCUGAACUCAUUAGCAUGGCCUGGAAGGUCUUUCCUUAACUCCUAAACCAACUCCAGCUUACCUCAUCACUAUCCACUUUCCCUCUGUAAAUCUGUGUGUAUGUGUGUGUGUGUGAAUCGCUCAGUCAUGUCCAAUUUUUUGCGACCCCACGGACUGUAGCUGCUCAGGCUCCUCUGGAGUGGGUUGCCAUUCCCUUCUUCAGGGGACUAUAAAGCUGAGAUCCUAUCAUAAUUGUAUGCUUGUCAUUCUUGCACGUACUUCAUACUCUGGGGGUACCUAGCAAUAUCCCUAAUGUAGUCAAAACACAAUCCAAUUCUGUCACCCACUAGCCCUUUGCAUUUUUAUUCAGAACAGGUAAUUUUGCCCUGCCCUUCAAUGUAAACAUGGGAAGAUCCCAGGACUUCUUAAUUAGUGUGGAGUGCUACUCAUUUUAUAAGUCACAAAUAACAGUCUUGAUUUGUAGUAAGAAUGUGUAUAGUUAAGGAAUUGGUUGAACGCCUUCAUCUCUGUUCAAAAAGUGAGAGUUCUCUCCAUGUGUGAAGGCCUGUGGUCAUCUUCUGUUCUCCCC
ensembl:lncRNA